rnacentral:lncRNA from 1 species
CACUCCACAGCCCAGGGCUUGAGAAGGACGGUGAGCUGUGAACACCAGGCUUCUUUCACAGGACUCUUCUCCAAGAAGGCUUUGUUCUUCUCUGUCCUCGGGCACCUUGCAUGCCAUGGGUACCACCAUCGUCUGUUUCCUGGAACUGUAUGGUCUUGCAUUUCCUCAGACAGUUGAAAUCUGAUGUCUGUAGAGGUUUUGGCCAAGGCUGGGUGGGUGUGGUGGUGUACACUUGCAACCCCAGCACUCUCAAUGGCGGAGACAGCAGUGUCCACAUGACUGGGAUCCUGGAGAGAACAGACAAUGACUGGGCCCGGCUUGGUGUCAGGGUUCAAAGGUUUAAUUCCUUUAUACAAGAUUUCUCUCGUCUUCUGAGACAGAGUUUCUCUGUAGCCCAGGCUGGCCUCAGACUUGAUCCUUCUACCCUAGCCCUUCAAGUGCUAGGAUUCCAAGAACGUACCUCCAUGCUUUGCCCCGCACUAGAUUUCUGAGUUUUCUAAAACCCAACUUGCUGAGUUUGUAAGCCAAGUAGACUUUGCACCUGCCCCCACCCUUUGGUCUGUGAAAACAUUGUACAGUCUGUCUGGGCCCGGGUCCCAGAUUUACAAGGUGAAGGAAUGCACUUGAUAGCAUUGCUUCCAGUGGGCGUAGCCCAAGUGCAUCAUCGUCUCACACCAGCUCUGGAAACGAAGAGGCUCUUUGUUUACAAGGUGCCAGGUGUCGAGCUAUGUUGAGCACACAGGUGUGGACACCCACAGGCACUAUCACACGUACGUGCUGGUACUGUGUACAGACUGACUAGAGUAAGCCCUGGGAGACUUGCGUCACUUCCAGGUGGGGAGAUCCUCUCACAUCCUUAUCUUGACCAUCUUGUCUGAUGGAGGGAGGAUGUUCAGUGCACGGCAGUCACUGCUGCUCUUUG